GACGAACGCUGGCGGCGUGCUUAACACAUGCAAGUCGAACGGAAAGGCCUCUUUCGGGGGGUACUCGAGUGGCGAACGGGUGAGUAACACGUGAGUAACCUGCCCUUGACUUUGGGAUAACUUCAGGAAACUGGGGCUAAUACCGGAUAGGAGCUCCUGCUGCAUGGUGGGGGUUGGAAAGUUUCGGCGGUUGGGGAUGGACUCGCGGCUUAUCAGCUUGUUGGUGGGGUAGUGGCUUACCAAGGCUUUGACGGGUAGCCGGCCUGAGAGGGUGACCGGCCACAUUGGGACUGAGAUACGGCCCUGACUCCUACGGGAGGCAGCAGUGGGGAAUAUUGCACAAUGGGUGGAAGCCUGAUGCAGCAACGCCGUGUGCGGGAUGACGGCCUUCGGGUUGUAAACCGCUUUCGCUCAUGACGAAGCUUUGUGUGACGGUAGUGGGUAAAGAAGCACCGGCUAACUACGUG
rnacentral:rRNA from 1 species